UGUUCCGUUACUGUGAACCACCACUCGCCAACAGCCAUGGCAAUCGCCGCAUCCGUCGCCGCCACCGGACCACACGACCGCUAACCACUGCCAUCCCGUUCAAACGUCGCAAUCGGCAACUUAGUUCUGUUCGCCUUCCCCUACGAAACCGAUCGAUCCGUUGUGUUCUUUUUACAACGUUGUGGAAGUGGAACCACCCAUCGACAUGUGCCACCUCUGUUCAGUUUAAGCACCGCAACCGUUUACAACUGCACCACCAAGCCUCCGCAAACCAGACGCGCCGCCCUUCAUGCCGCACAAAAACCACACGCUGCCGCACAUGGCCGCUUCUCGUUUGCGGCCACUGGUUCAGUCAUCCAAGAUCUCCGAAUUCACGAACAGCCACCGGGACACCCUCUUGUUCGAUCAACCUCCGCCCUACCGAAAUUUUCUGAUAAACAGUCACGGGGUCGACCUCCGCAUUCUUCAUUCAGGUAGUCUUGUAGCAUUUCCAAGUCGGACGCUAAUGUUUUGUUAAGUCCUGACUUACGCCUUAAGGUAAUCUGGGAUAAUAUGGGAUUUCAGUGAGGAGCGUUAGGAAGUUGCUGACCAAGAUUCUUUAUUUCAGUAACGUAAUAAAAUGUAAUUAAGAUCUUUCAUUUAAUGUUAUGGGUUGGUUUUUAGUUUUGAUAUCUGUAAGAGUGACACGUCAGCCCUAUUCGGGUUGGGGUGUUACAAUUAUGGUAUGAGAGUAAAGGCUCUUUCCUGUAGAAAACUUAAACAUUAAAAACGAAACCUGUGA